GAUGAACGCUGGCGGCGUGCCUAAUACAUGCAAGUCGAGCGAAAGGACGAGAAGCUUGUUUCUUUCUCGUUAGGGGCGGGGGGGAGAAAAACACGUGGAAACCCUCCUUAUCAGACUGGUAAAACUUCGGGAAACGGUCGAUAACCCGGGAUAAUCUCUUGAACCGCAGGGUUGAAAAGUGAAAGACGGCCUUGCUGUCACUUAUAGAUGCAUCCGCGCUGGAUUAGCUAGUUGUUAAGUUAACGGCUUACCAAGGCAAGGAUGCAUAGCCGACGUGAGGGGGUGGUAGGCCGCACUGGAGCUGAGACACGGUCCAGAGGCCUACGGGAGGCAGCAGUAGGGAAUCUUCCGCAGUGGGCGGAAGCCUGACGGAGCAGCGCCGCGUGAGUGAUGAAGGUCUUCGGAUCGUAAAAAUCUGUUACUAGGGAAGAACAUAUGUGGAAGGAACUGAGCACAUCGUGACGGUACCUGAUCAGAAAGCCCCGGCUAACUACGUG
rnacentral:rRNA from 1 species